CGGUCCAAACUCCUACGGGAGGCAGCAGUGAGGAAUAUUGGUCAAUGGGCGAGAGCCUGAACCAGCCAAGUAGCGUGAAGGAUGACUGCCCUAUGGGUUGUAAACUUCUUUUAUAAAGGAAUAAAGUCGGGUAUGCAUACCCGUUUGCAUGUACUUUAUGAAUAAGGAUCGGCUAACUCCGUGCCAGCAGCCGCGGUAAUACGGAGGAUCCGAGCGUUAUCCGGAUUUAUUGGGUUUAAAGGGAGCGUAGAUGGAUGUUUAAGUCAGUUGUGAAAGUUUGCGGCUCAACCGUAAAAUUGCAGUUGAUACUGGAUAUCUUGAGUGCAGUUGAGGCAGGCGGAAUUCGUGGUGUAGCGGUGAAAUGCUUAGAUAUCACGAAGAACUCCGAUUGCGAAGGCAGCCUGCUAAGCUGCAACUGACAUUGAGGCUCGAAAGUGUGGGUAUCAAACAGGAUUAGAUACCCUGGUAGUCCACACGGUAAACGAUGAAUACUCGCUGUUUGCGAUAUACGGCAAGCGGCCAAGCGAAAGCGUUAAGUAUUCCACCUGGGGAGUACGCCGGCAACGGUGAAACUCAAAGGAAUUGACGGGGGCCCGCACAAGCGGAGGAACAUGUGGUUUAAUUCGAUGAUACGCGAGGAACCUUACCCGGGCUUAAAUUGCAGAUGAAUUACGGUGAAAGCCGUAAGCCGCAAGGCAUCUGUGAAGGUGCUGCAUGGUUGUCGUCAGCUCGUGCCGUGAGGUGUCGGCUUAAGUGCCAUAACGAGCGCAACCCUUGUUGUCAGUUACUAACAGGUUCCGCUGAGGACUCUGACAAGACUGCCAUCGUAAGAUGUGAGGAAGGUGGGGAUGACGUCAAAUCAGCACGGCCCUUACGUCCGGGGCUACACACGUGUUACAAUGGGGGGUACAGAGGGCCGCUACCACGCGAGUGGAUGCCAAUCCCAAAAACCUCUCUCAGUUCGGACUGGAGUCUGCAACCCGACUCCACGAAGCUGGAUUCGCUAGUAAUCGCGCAUCAGCCACGGCGCGGUGAAUACGUUCCCGGGCCUUGUACACACCGCCCGU
rnacentral:rRNA from 1 species